AGCUUUGCGCAGUGGCAGUAUCGUAGUCAGUGAGGUUUAUCCGAGGCACAAUUAUUGCUAAAAACUAUGAAUGCAUGUAAACUGUUAUCGAUAGUCAUGUAAAUAUACUGUCAUUUUAAAAAUGAUUUGUAUUA